UACGUAGGGAGCGAGCGUUGUCCGGAAUUACUGGGUGUAAAGGGAGCGUAGGCGGGGAUGCAAGUUGGGUGUCAAAACUACCGGCUCAACUGGUAGUCGCACUCAAAACUGCAGCCCUUGAGUGAAGUAGAGGCAGGCGGAAUUCCUAGUGUAGCGGUGAAAUGCGUAGAUAUUAGGAGGAACACCAGUGGCGAAGGCGGCCUGCUGGGCUUUUACUGACGCUGAGGCUCGAAAGUGUGGGGAGCAAACAGG
rnacentral:rRNA from 1 species